GAUGAACGCUGGCGGCGUGCUUAACACAUGCAAGUCGAACGGAAAGGCCCAAGCUUGCUUGGGUACUCGAGUGGCGAACGGGUGAGUAACACGUGGGUGAUCUGCCCUGCACUUCGGGAUAAGCCUGGGAAACUGGGUCUAAUACCGGAUAGGACGAUGGUUUGGAUGCCAUUGUGGAAAGUUUUUUCGGUGUGGGAUGAGCUCGCGGCCUAUCAGCUUGUUGGUGGGGUAAUGGCCUACCAAGGCGUCGACGGGUAGCCGGCCUGAGAGGGUGUACGGCCACAUUGGGACUGAGAUACGGCCCAGACUCCUACGGGAGGCAGCAGUGGGGAAUAUUGCACAAUGGGCGCAAGCCUGAUGCAGCGACGCCGCGUGGGGGAUGACGGCCUUCGGGUUGUAAUCUCCUUUCGCUAGGGACGAAGCGUUUUUGUGACGGUACCUGGAGAAGAAGCACCGGCUAACUACGUG
rnacentral:rRNA from 1 species